rnacentral:rRNA from 1 species
UCGGAACGUGCCUGUAGUGGGGGAUAACUAGUCGAAAGACUAGCUAAUACCGCAUACGACCUGAGGGUGAAAGUGGGGGACCGGCAAGGCCUCAUGCUAUAGGAGCGGCCGAUGUCUGAUUAGCUAGUUGGUGAGGUAAAGGCUCACCAAGGCGACGAUCAGUAGCUGGUCUGAGAGGACGAUCAGCCACACUGGGACUGAGACACGGCCCAG